rnacentral:lncRNA from 1 species
CCCUAGCAGCCUGAAGAACUCUAAGCCAGGUUUAAUUGGUUUCUUUUUCUCGUGGGUAGACUUAAUAAUUUUCUACGUAUUCUGACAAAGAAAUAACCCCGAAGCACGUUCCUAUUUCCCACCUGCUUGUAGUUUCCGGGAUAACCUAAACUCCAGAGAGCUAUAGCAUCCACUCUGUCCUUUCUGCUUUGCACACAGUGGGGUGGCUGGACGAGAGCAGCUCUUGGCUCAGCAAAGAAUGCACAGUAUGAUCAGCUCAGGGAUGUGAAGUCAGAAGUUCCUGUGGGCCUGGAGCCCAUCUCACCUUUAGACCUAAGGACAGACCUCAGGAUGAUGAUGCCCGUGGUGGACCCUGUUGUCCGUGAGAAGCAAUUGCAGCAGGAAUUACUUCUUAUCCAGCAGCAGCAACAAAUCCAGAAGCAGCUUCUGAUAGCAGAGUUUCAGAAACAGCAUGAGAACUUGACACGGCAGCACCAGGCUCAGCUUCAGGAGCAUAUCAAGUGCAACAGGAACUUCUAGCCAUAAAACAGCAACAAGAACUCCUAGAAAAGGAGCAGAAACUGGAGCAGCAGAGGCAAGAACAGGAAGUAGAGAGGCAUCGCAGAGAACAGCAGCUUCCUCCUCUCAGAGGCAAAGAUAGAGGACGAGAAAGUAAG